rnacentral:rRNA from 2 species
AGUUGCGGUCAUAGCAGCACUAAUGCACCGGAUCCCAUCAAAACUCCGCCGUUAAGCGUGCUUGGGCGAGAGUAGUACUAGGAUGGGUGACCUCCUGGGAAGUCCUCGUGUUGCACCUC